rnacentral:snoRNA from 12 species
CGCCUCCCAAGAUCGCAUCUGGGGAGCUGGUGGUGCUCCGCCAGCUUCGGACACGGGAGGGAGAGAGACUGCAGAGGAACACCCAUUCCCUCCCUGGCUCUGGCAGUGGCUAGGGGGUGGAAGAUAGCCCUGCGACAGCC